GCUUAGAGCCAUACCUUUCUGAGUACACCUGAUCUCAUCCGAUCUCAGGAGAAAAGAAAGUUUGGGCCUAGUUAGGAUUUCGAUGGGAGACUCCCUGAGAAUACCAGGUGCUGUUGGUU
ensembl:rRNA 5S_rRNA 5S ribosomal RNA